rnacentral:snRNA from 1 species
AUCCUUUUUCGGUGUUUUAACUAAGAUCAAGGGUAGUAUUUGUUCUUAUCAUUAUCAGUUUAACGUCUGAUACAUUCUAUAUCUGAGGAAAGUAAGGUGGAUUUUUGGAGCAGGGAGAUGGCAUAGAAGUUUGUCGUGUCCAUUGCAGGUAUCGGCAAGAAUGGUGUACUUUCUCGAGGGAUACAAUGUCU